GUGCAGGUGCGACUCAGAGACAGCGUGAAAGCAGCCAUCUGCAUCGAGUCGCUCUGCCAGAGCAACCUCUCUGUGGAGUCGGUGAUGGGCGUGGCAGCUGGCGGAGGAACGUUCAGCAUGUUGCUAACAGGAACGCUGUACCUGCAGGCGGGAGAGUACGUGUCGGUGUUCGUGGAUAACGCCACGGGCUCGGCCAUCAGCAUCCUCCAGGACUCUCUGUUCUCUGGGAUCCUGCUGGGAGUCUGAGUCACAUGACCGCUGCCAUCAGCAGACAGACUCUCCUCUGUGAGGUUCACCUGAGCAUCAUCAUCGUCGUCUUCACCCUUUUACCUGAAUGGGAGCGCUGCUGUUUUGUGGACCUCCACCUACUCCAACCUUCCUGCAUCCACCGAUGGAGCGACCACACCUGGAAACCUUCAAACAAACAAAACUUUGAGUCAUUUCAGUGAGAACUUCGCUGAAGUCAUUUUCUUCACUGAAAACGGGUCACACUUCAGUCAUGUGACGACCAUCAACAUCUGUCCUUGGUGGCGUCUCCAUCCCAGUGACAGCUACACCUGCUCUGCAUCUUCACUGUUGGCUAAAAGACAAAAAAGACAAAAACAAAUGUAGCUUAACCUGUGCACCUGCAAGCUGCUUUGCAACCCACCUCCACCAUAGCGCCUCCUUUUUCUGUAGGGAGCUACAAUUGCUCUCAGAGGUCCCAGAACUCAGCCAGGCGUGCGAAUAGAAAUGAAAGCAGAUGGAAACAAUCUUCUUACUACACCGAUGAGAAUAUUAACCCACUACUAGUGCCCGCUUUAAGGUAAACAUGUCCACCACGGAGUCUAACGGCUCCAUCAAAGAGAGAGUGACUGCAGCGCUGCCGGUUUCACAGGCGGCGCCUUGUUAGCAGGUCGAAGGUCAGAUCUGCUCAUGUAUAACUCCUAUGCAUGUGCUGCUGUGGCCUUCAGGCCCUGCAGCAGGUCUGUGUCUGCAGGACGUUAAAAGAAAGCAGCACUGUGUGUGGAAAAGAGCACAUUUCUAAAAUAAGCGUCACAGUAAGUUUCCACAGUGUUUCCACCCUCGCUGACACUGAGGAGCCUGUGCUCCGCUGGCUCGGCCUCAGUUUUCCAUCCACGCUGCAGCGCUGGCGCUCGCUGUCGCUUCAGGUCACCGCCUGCUGGUCAUCAAAGGAACUGCAGCUGUGACGGCCACUCGCCACACUGAUGACGAUUAUUUCAUACGAAGUCAUCUGAGGACAAACUUGUGUUUAUCUGUACAGGCCGACUCCAUCAUUGGUUUUCACCUUCUUUUGAUAUUUAUUCUCUCAGUGAAAAAUAAAAGUUUCUGUGCUGCUGUCAGCAUUUCUUAC